rnacentral:tRNA from 1 species
CGGGAUUUAGCGCAGCCUAGUAGCGCACCUCGCUGGGAGUAAGGUGGUCGUCGGCUCAAAUCCGGCCAUCCCGACCA